UAGCCUGAAGUGAUGAGCUUGGUUCAUGUCUCUUCUCUGAAACCUAUGCUGGAGAUACUCCAAAAACUCUGAUCAGGCCA